rnacentral:sRNA from 1 species
CCUUUCAAUGUUGUAUUAGUUUUUUGGUAUUCCUAUUACAUCAAACUUUGUUCGUUGUGCUUUGUCAAUGGCAUUUCAGUUCAUAGUUGCAAUUUCAGUGGAAUGGUUCAUUAAGUACGCAUAAAGAAGGAAUUUUAGCAGGAAAUAACGAUGACACCGCAGUAUUUGUGAUAAUCACUGAAGACAUCUCAUUAUGGUUUUUGAUUUGCUUUAUCCCCUUAAGAGUACACCUGCUCUCUGGUGGCUUUCUAGUGGGAAAGGGAAAAUUCAAAAAUAUUCCUCGUAACUAUGCCAUGCUAAAGUAGGUCAAAUGGAAUUUACAACACUCUGUCAAAAGAAAAUGAAAUGAAUUAAUGGAGCAAAGCACUUGAUUUGGUUUAUUUGUAAAGAGUUUUAUGAAGUGUUCGAAAUGUGGUACCCUACACUACCACUUUUUUGGCAUUUGUGAGCAAGGGCUGAAACAAGAGAUGGGUGGCUGAUAUUUCCAAGUUUCUCUAUAAUGUGAGCGUAAUGAAACUCAC